AGUGAACGCUGGCGGUAGGCCUAACACAUGCAAGUCGAACGGCAGCACAGUAAGAGCUUGCUCUUACGGGUGGCGAGUGGCGGACGGGUGAGGAAUACAUCGUAAUCUACUUUUUCGUGGGGUAUAACGUAGGGAAACUUACUCUAAUACCGCAUACGACCUACGGGUGAAAGCAUGGGAUCUUCGGACCUUGCGCGAUUGAAUGAGCCGAUGUCGGAUUAGCUAGUUGGCGGGGUAAAGGCCCACCAAGGCGACGAUCCGUAGCUGGUGUGAGAGGAUGAUAAGCCACACUGGACGUGAGACACGGUCCAGACUCCUAAGGGAGGCAGCAGUGGGGAAUGUUGGACAAUGGGCGCAAGCCUGAUCCAGCCAUACCGCGUGGGUGAAGAAGGCCUUGGGGUUGUAAAGCCCUUUUGUUGGGAAAGAAAAGCAGCAGGUUAAUACCCCGCUGUUCUGACGGUACCCAAAGAAUAAGCACCGGCUAACUUCGUG
rnacentral:rRNA from 1 species